GGGGAUAUAGCUCAGUGGUAGAGUGCUUGCCUAGCAAGCGCAAGGCCCUGGGUUCGGUCCCCAGCUCCA
rnacentral:tRNA from 1 species